CAGUAGCCGCGGUAAUACGGAGGGGGCUAGCGUUGUUCGGAAUUACUGGGCGUAAAGCGCACGUAGGCGGCUUGGUAAGUUAGAGGUGAAAGCCUGGAGCUCAACUCCAGAAUUGCCUUUAAGACUGCCGAGCUAGCAGGUGAGAGAGGUAAGUGGAAUUCCGAGUGUAGAGGUGAAAUUCGUAGAUAUUCGGAGGAACACCAGUGGCGAAGGCGGCUCACUGGACCAUUACUGACGCUGAGGUGCGAAAGCGUGGGGAGCAAACAGGAUUAGAUACCCCAGUAGUCCCUGUCUCUUAUAC
rnacentral:rRNA from 1 species